rnacentral:lncRNA from 13 species
AGAACCGCAACCUUCGAGGCAUGACGGUACUGUGCGAAUUGUUGGAAUGACCGAGCUCCUAUAGAUUAUCUGUUGCUGUUGUAUUGCCCAAAGGGUCUUGCUCUGUUGCUGAGGCUGGCGUGCAGUAGUGUGAUCACGGCUCCCUGCAGUCUCGACCUCCUGGGCUUAAGCGAUCCUCAUCUCAGUCUCCUGAGUAGCUACAGGUGAGCACCACUGAACCCAGCUCUAUUAUUUCCAUAAUAAAAACUACUGACAAUAAAGGAAGAGUAAUGAC